ACGAGAUUCUCUUCUGUCCCUACUUACUAUCUAGCGAAACCACUGCCAAGGGAACGGGCUUGGAAAAAUUAGCGGGGAAAGAAGACCCUGUUGAGCUUGACUCUAGUCUGGCGAUGUAAGGAGACAUGAGAGGUGUAGAAUAAGUGGGAGAUGGUAAAACAUCGCCAGUGAAAUACCACUACUUUCAUUGUUUCUUUACUUACUCGAUUAAAUGGAAAGCAUGCGUCGUUGCUUACGAGCUUCGGCUGUCAUGGUUUUCUUGAAUCAAACGUAUAGAGUGGUGUUCUGGGCGUUUCGUGCCUUUACUUCGCUUGUAUGACUUAUCGGUGGGCUUGUCUCAUUUGGUAACCAUGCAGUGUUGUUUUGGUUUACGUUGCGUUCCAGUCACCGAUUUAUGCUCUUGCGUGAUCCAAUUCGAGGACACCGCCAGGUGGGGAGUUUGACUGGGGCGGUACAUCUGUCAAAGAAUAACGCAGGUGUCCUAAGGCCAGCUCAGCGAGGACAGAAACCUCGCGUAGAGCAAAAGGGCAAAAGCUGGCUUGAUCCCGAUGUUCAGUAUGCAUAGGGACUGCGAAAGCACGGCCUAUCGAUCCUUUUGGCUUGAA
rnacentral:rRNA from 1 species